rnacentral:rRNA from 1 species
GACGAACGCUGGCGGCGUGCCUAAUACAUGCAAGUAGAACGCAGUUGCGAACGGGUGAGUAACGCGUAGGUAACUGCCUCAUAGCGGGGGAUAACUAUUGGGAACGAUAGCUAAUACCGCAUACUUUGAGCUGGACCUGCGUUGUAUUAGCUUGUUGGUGAGGGAAAGGAUCACCAAGGCGACGAUACAUAGCCGACCUGAGAGGGUGAUCGUGCACACCGGGACGUAGACACGGCCCAGACUCCUACGGGAGGCAGCAGGAGGGAAUCAUCGGCAAUGGACGGAAGUCUGAACGAGCAAAGGCGCGUGAGUGAAGAAGGGUUUCGGAUCGUAAAGCUAUGUUGUUAGAGAAGCGGUAACUAAACAGAAAGGGACGGCUAACUACGUGCCAGCAGCCGCGGUAAUAC